rnacentral:rRNA from 1 species
GAUGAACGCUAGCGGCAGGCUUAAUACAUGCAAGUUGAGGGGCAGCAUGAUAUACGCAAGUAUAUUGAUGGCGACCGGCGGACGGGUGAGUAAAAGGUAGGAGACCUACCUCAUACAGGGGGAUAGCAUAGAGAAAUCUGUGGUAAUACCCCAUGAGGUUAUAUGAAUAGAGGCAUAUAAUCAAAGUAUACGAGAGUAUGCGGUAUGAGAUGGGCCUACUGACCAUUAGCUAGUUGGUGAGGUAAGGGCUCACCAAGGCGAAGAUGGUUAGGGGUUUUGAGAGAGAGAUCCCCCACAUUGGAACUGAGAUACGGUCCAGACUCCUACGGGAGGCAGCAGUAGGGAAUAUUGGGCAAUGGGCGGAAGCCUGACCCAGCCAUGCCGCGUGAAGGAAGACGGCCUUAUGGGUUGUAAACUUCUUUACUAUACGAAUAGAGGUUAGUACGAGAUACUAAUAGGAAGGUAGUAUAGCAAAAAGCACCGGCUAACUCCGUG